rnacentral:rRNA from 1 species
GAUGAACGCUAGCUACAGGCUUAACACAUGCAAGUCGAGGGGAAACGACAUCGAAAGCUUGCUUUUGAUGGGCGUCGACCGGCGCACGGGUGAGUAACGCGUAUCCAACCUGCCCAUCACUUGGGAAUAACCUUGCGAAAGUAAGACUAAUACCCAAUGACAUCCCACGAAGACAUCUGAAUGGGAUUAAAGAUUUAUCGGUGAUGGAUGGGGAUGCGUCUGAUUAGCUUGUUGGCGGGGUAACGGCCCACCAAGGCAACGAUCAGUAGGGGUUCUGAGAGGAAGGUCCCCCACAUUGGAACUGAGACACGGUCCAAACUCCUACGGGAGGCAGCAGUGAGGAAUAUUGGUCAAUGGGCGAGAGCCUGAACCAGCCAAGUAGCGUGCAGGAUGACGGCCCUAUGGGUUGUAAACUGCUUUUAUAAGGGAAUAAAGUGGGUCUCGUGAGACUUUUUGCAUGUACCUUAGGAAUAAGGACCGGCUAAUUCCGU